rnacentral:rRNA from 1 species
UACGAAGGGGGCUAGCGUUGUUCGGAAUUACUGGGCGUAAAGCGCGCGCAGGUGGUCUUUCAAGUCAGUGGUGAAAGCCCGGAGCUCAACUCCGGAAAUGCCAUUGAAACUGUAAGACUUGAGGAUGAGAGAGGAACGCGGAAUUCCAGGUGUAGCGGUGAAAUGCGUAGAUAUCUGGAGGAACACCGGUGGCGAAGGCGGCGUUCUGGACUGGUCUCUGACACUGAAGAACGAAAGCCAGGGGAGCAAACGGGG